GUUCUCGCGCACCUCAUCCAAAUAACAGUAUUCGGUGUCUUAGUUGGCAGCCGGUUGGUGCCUGCCACGAUAGGUUAUCAGUUCAAAUGGCACGCGCCUCUCUCGACUGCCCCAUCAGCUGAUUUGUCCGCCCCAAGCAACUGAUAGUGCCUGGGGCGGAGAGAUAGAUGAGAAAAAAUCGUCUGAUUCUAGGUGUCUGAACCUCGCUCGCUAUCCA
ensembl:ncRNA T14F9.20 ncRNA